UGACGGGGGCCCGCACAAGCGGAGGAACAUGUGGUUUAAUUCGAUGAUACGCGAGGAACCUUACCCGGGCUUGAAUUGCAGAGGAAGGAUUUGGAGACAAUGACGCCCUUCGGGGUCUCUGUGAAGGUGCUGCAUGGUUGUCGUCAGCUCGUGCCGUGAGGUGUCGGCUUAAGUGCCAUAACGAGCGCAACCCCUCUCCUUAGUUGCCAUCAGGUGAUGCUGGGCACUCUGGGGACACUGCCACCGUAAGGUGUGAGGAAGGUGGGGAUGACGUCAAAUCAGCACGGCCCUUACGUCCGGGGCUACACACGUGUUACAAUGGCAGGUACAGAGAGAUGGUGUUCUGCAAAGCGCAUCUAAUCCUUAAAGCCUGUCUCAGUUCGGACUGGGGGCUGCAACCCGACCCCACGAAGCUGGAUUCGCUAGUAAUCGCGCAUCAGCCAUGGCGCGGUGAAUACGUUCCCGGGCCUUGUACACACCGCCCGUCAAGCCAUGAAAGCCGGGGGCGCCUAAAGUUCGUGACCGUAAGGAGCGGCCUAGGGCGAAACUGGUAAUUGGGGCUAAGU
rnacentral:rRNA from 1 species